UUUACUCAACACAGAUAUGAAGAUACUGUCCAAAAUCCUGGCAACAAGAAUACAAACAUACAUGCCAAGAUUAAUACACCCAGACCAAGCCAGUUUCAUACCAGGGAGGGAAGCGAGGGACUGCACUCAGGGCCGGUGCAAGGACUUUUGCCGCCCUAGGCAAAAAUAAAAUUUGCUGCCCCCCCUCCGUCCCUCCCGUGUGACAUCACAAUGCCCACCCAUAUGAUCUGCCAUAUGAACUAAUGCCAGUGCUACACACAGUCUGUGUUAACAUUAAAAAGCUUGCAGGGAUAGGCUAUAGACACCAGAACCACUUCAUUAAG